UACGUAGGGUGCAAGCGUUGUCCGGAAUUAUUGGGCGUAAAGAGCUUGUAGGCGGUUUGUCGCGUCUGCUGUGAAAUUUCGGGGCUCAACCCCGAACUUGCAGUGGGUACGGGCAGACUAGAGUGUGGUAGGGGAGACUGGAAUUCCUGGUGUAGCGGUGAAAUUCGUAGAUAUCGGGAGGAACACCAGUGGCGAAGGCGGCGACCUGGACGGACAUUGACGCUGAGACGCGAAAGCGUGGGGAGCAAACAGG
rnacentral:rRNA from 1 species